rnacentral:sRNA from 1 species
CAAAGUCUUUAAGCAAUGAAAACUUUGUUUAUUUGUCCCCUUGACACAAAGCAGUUUUUAAUUGUCACUAAGGCCCUGUUCGUUUGAUCAGUCAGAUGGAUCAUCUGGAUGAAAAUGAGUUUUGAUGUUCGUUUGGUGCCAAAAACGGUUCAUUCAAAUGAUCCAUCCAAAUGAAUCAUCUGGAUGAAUUUGAAAAUUAAGGCUAAAUUUUCAAACUCAUUCGGCUGAACUAAAUUGGAUCAUUUGGAUGGAGAUGAUUCUGUCAAAAAUAACAAAUGACAUAAAUAUCCUAAUUAUUUCAAUUGAUUAUUUAGAUGUAUUUUUAGAUACAAAA